AACGAACGCUGGCGGCAUGCCUAACACAUGCAAGUCGUGCGAGAAAGUUCCUUCGGGAGCGAGUAAAGCGGCGCACGGGUGAGUAACACGUAGGUAACCUGCCCCCCAGUCUGGAACAACUAGAGGAAACUCUAGCUAAUGCCGGAUGAGACCACGAUCCCUUCGGGGGUUGCGGCCAAAGAUGGCCUCUACUUGUAAGCUAUCGCUGAGGGAUGGGCCUGCGGGCCAUUAGCUUGUUGGUGAGGUAACGGCUCACCAAGGCUGUGAUGGCUAGCUGGUCUGAGAGGAUGACCAGCCACACUGGGACUGAGACACGGCCCAGACUCCUACGGAGGCAGCAGUGGGGAAUAUUGCGCAAUGGGCGAAAGCCUGACGCAGCGACGCCGCCGUGGGUGAUGAA
rnacentral:rRNA from 1 species